CGGCUAAAAAGAGUACAUUCUAUGACACCAAAAGACGUCGAUUCUAAAUAACUAUUAAAUAACUAUCUUAGAAUAUAUGACGGUAAUAAUUUUGUAAAUAGGAAGAGUUCAACGACAACGGCUUUACAAAAACUGUUGUGGAAUUCUGUGUUUAACGAGGUUUUUUUUUUUUUUUUUGUAAAAACAUCGAGAUUUGCGCACUAUUUAAAUUUACAAAUUAAAGAUACAUUCAGACCCUCACUCACUCACCGUCCAAACCUCGCCCUCUCACCUCUCCUCUUCUGGUACCUGCAUGAGCCUCGCCCCCUCGCUCAUGUGCCUCCACCUCGACGACGAGUGGUUCACGUCGCUAGUGCAAAGUUUGAGGUUCGACACAGUUUAUUGCUCGUGGUGCUGUUAAGGUUCACGAAGGACCCUUUCUCACAGGUGCGAGCCUCAGCGCUAGAAGGGCUUGUUGGUUUCUACGAGUGCGGCAGAGUCGAGAGACAUCAUGUUCUUGUUGGCAAAACCCUCGUCUCUCGUACCCAGGGAACAAAGGUCAUGCUGAACUCAUUUACUCGCGAGCUCAACUUGUUAAUCCGAAAAUUGAGUUGAGCUAUAGAGGCAUAUUUCAUUGUCAUCAUUUUUCUCCUACUGAAAAACUGAAUCUUGUGAUGUGUAAGUGUGAAAGUUACUGAACUUGAUAGGUAAAUGCUUCAAUCCUCUGCUUACUUUUCAAGAAAGUAAGAAGGGGAAAAUGUUUUGUAAGCUUUCCUUGCUCCUUUAAGUUGAUAUAGGAAAAGUAGGUUCGAUUAUUUCAUGUUCUUGAAUUUAUUUUGGUAUCAUUGGACAAUUUACUUCUAGCUCUUUUUUCCAAUUGUGGGGUAAUGUCCUUUAGGAAUUUAACUUCUAGCUUAGGCUAAUCUUGUGUGCUUGAAUUCAAGCCUUUAAACUUAUCUUCACUGGAUGCAAAUGGAUGGAGACUUGAAAAAGAAUGAAGAGAGAAGAAGAAUAAGAGGAGGAUGGAACGGGGAUGGAAAUACUAGUGAAUUUAUUUAUUUUAUAAUGGCUCGCCUUUGAAAUCCCAGAAUAGCAAGGAUCGGGUAUGUACUGCACAUUAAUUUGUCUUAUACGUAUCAUUUUUCUUCUUCUUCUCGUUUCUGCUUCCUGGUGCAGCGUAGUGACAAAAUUCAAAGACAGUGGUCUUUAAUUUAUUGCUAUUUGUCCCUAACCCUGUUGCGCUGCAUUUGAGGUGUCCUAUGGGAAACUUGCAACUUCUUUAUUCAACUCCCAACCAUUCAAAUCAUAUAAUAUUAAAUGGUGGAUUUUUUGACUGGUUUUCGUCACCAUGAAGGAAAAUAAAUGAUACUAGUCUGUAACCUGUGCGUACGCACGGGUCACUUGGUUAAUAAAAUUGCAAUCACAGGAGUAUAAUUGAAUAUUAAAUAGAUAUAUAAUUAUAAUGUUGAUGAAAUAGAGAUUGUUCAGAGAAAAUAAACAAAACAUAAUUACAUAUAAAACAAAAUAUAAUCACAUAUAAAGCGAAAAUUAUAGCCACUUCCUUUCUCUUCUGAUGACUAUUUCCCAAAUUCUUUCAUGUGGCCGGUAAUAGAAUGAUACCUUGUCUCCAUGAUGGAAAUCGUUUUCCCUGAGAAACUUGUACCAUGGCCGGACGAUACUUUUAUCUUUAAUGUCGCGGUCAAGUGUAACGACGUCCCAUUGCAGAGGAGGUGCAUUCUUCCUUAAAAUUGUCAAGUGAUUCUCACAUUGUUUCAGAUAUUUCCUUGCAUGUGAUGGGAUUUCCUGCGGGUCAUUUAUAGAGAUUAAUAAUGUUAUUGAAAUUCUCAUAAUAAUGCAAGUUAAUGUGAUUGUAUAUUACCAGUGGUUGGGGAGCACCCAUUAUACAUUGGGUAAUUUCAGUUCUCUAGGCAUGUACAAGGGAAUGAAGUAUUGGUCUACCACAUGUUUGUUGAUUCAGGGGAGGUGUAAAAUGUAGAUCAAAGAUGGUAUUAUCAUCACAGGCAAAGAAGUUGAUGAUAAUAGACUCGUAAAUUUUUAAAUCUGCCUUGACCUCUGAGAGUCCAUCUGCAAAAAAAUAUCUUCCUCGGUGUUGUUGGACCUGUAUUGGGUAGGUUGCUCCAUUGUAUUUGAACUGAACUUUGUAUGGGUAAUUAGGUGCCCAUUGUUCAUGGUAAAAUGGAGGUAUCUCUAUGAAUGUCUGAAUAUAAAAAGCAAGAAAAUGUAUGAAAAGAAAUAAUAUGUCAAAAGAGAAAAUGAAAAAAGUUAAAGGAACUAAAUGAAAAUGAUAUAAACUUCCACGCGAAAUCCACAGUCAAAGCAAAAUGCUAUAUAUUUAAAAUAUGGUGAAUUGAAAAGCAUGCAAAUGCAAUGGAAGCAUGGAAGUUAGUACAAAUAGGCAAAAACAGAACACACAAGACAGGAAACAGGGAAAAAACAGAACGAAGAGAAAUGACAUAAUCAAUCAAAAACCAUGCAAAUGGAAUGUAAGCAAUAACCAACAGAUGCAAGGGAAGGAAAAAAAGUUUUUUGUAUUUUAAACUAUAACUUGGUCAUUGUGGAAAGCUACUCUGAAUUGCAUGAUUGCAGGUGGUCUCACAAUUGGACAUCUGAUUUGCAUGAACAAAAGAUUUGCUAAUGUCAAAAGUUUAAACGAAAAAAUAAUGCAUUGCAAGGUAUAAACUUUGUAAGAGUGGCUCCUUACUCUGAUUGAAGCGGUGGAGGAUGAGGUACUCAUGUUGGGUUUUUAUGAAGUAAAAGUAUGGUGAUUUGAUGUUAGGAUGAUGUUUGCAGAGGAACGGGUAAUAUGGGUUAAUAGUUGAGUGCACUUGGUUAAUUGAUUUAUCUUUUCGAUGGCAUAAGUGGCGGUAGGUUUAUGUUGGAAACGGUGUAAGUGAAUGGUUGCUUCUUGAAUGUGAAAGGAAGUGAUGAUAUGAAGAGCCUCAACAUGAAUAGUUGUGGAAGUAACCGAAGGGUUUUUUUCUGAAUGGUUUCAGAAGUGAUUGGACUUUAGUGCUGUUUGUGGUGUGCAUAUAAUAGUUGGGCCUUAAAUUCCUUAAUUUUUUCCAUGAGGUUUUCGGCUUGAUAGAUUAAUUAAUAGAUUAAUAAUUUAAAAUUCACCUAAUCAUUAAAGUAUUUUACACGUUCCCGUGCUUGAAGUAAUUGCAGUAUCAACUCUGUCGUCAUCCAUAUCUUCUCAAUAAAUGGCCCUGUGAAACUGUUGUGUGUGCAGUUUCUAAAAAAUGCUUAAAAUGGAGGGACGUUAGAAAAUAGAGAAGAAUAGGCAAGAUAGA